rnacentral:lncRNA from 1 species
UUAAUCAUCAAGAAAAAAAAUAUGUAAGAUAUGGCUGUAUGGGCAUAGUUUCCUUUGCCUUACCCUUCGGGGAAAACAAAAAAUAUAUUUUUUUUGUCUCGGUCGUGUCUCGGCAAAGACCUUUGUGUCUCGGUGAACAUUUGAACAAUUGGUGAAGUUCUAUUGUAUUGAUAAUAUUUUCCUGUGCUACUUUUUUCCUACCUACUUUAUUAGAAUUUGUAACUUACAAGUUCAUCGAGUCGAGCCCUACUUCUCCGUUUUUGCGUGGAUAUUCAACUGGUAAAACUUCCAGAACCAUUAUGUGUUUUGGAUAAAGCCGAAAUGAUAAAAAGUUUGUGGAUAAUGUGUUAGAUGCUGAUCGACUUUGUGUGUAACUCAUACUAAGAGAUGCAAGUAACAAUAACAAGUCUCCUGAUGAAUGUUCCAGUCCGAGAGUUGGAAGUAAUGUGUCUGUAUAAGAUGUGGAAUAUCUUUGGGAAGGCAUACAAGAAGACAAAAUCACAGGCCAUAACCUUGAAAGAAAUGAAGAGUGACAUAUAGAAAAACAAAAAUAUCUCCGAGACAGAUUCCUGAUGGAUGCUCAUGUAUGCAUUGUUUGCAGGAUGAGCUCACCUCAAAAGUAUUAAUAUCUAGUGAACAUAAGAGCUGUGUUAAGUGUGCCGUUCUGUUGCAUUGUAUGUAGUUAGUAGCUAUUUAUGUUCAUAAAUGUUGUUAAACUAUGAGCUUAAAUUACUUUAUAAUUUAUAUUAUCAUAUCAUUAAAUAGUUAAUAAGCUAGUUAGGCACAUAACCCAUAUAUUUUAAUGUUAUUGUCAAGUUUAUUCUAUACCUACUUACUAAUAUGUUACCAUAUUAAGUUCCCUGACAUGAUUUAUGUAAUGACUAUGUACUAACAUCAGUAAGUAGUAACUGGGACCAGCAGCUUAACAUGCCAUUCGAAGCAUAGAUUAUCUUACUUCAGGCAAUCGGUUGAUCAGCCAGCCAUCUCCUAACCAAACUGGGGAUCACAAAGUAAUUUUUGGGGAGUUGAACCGAGGACCUCCAGAUGUGUUGACCCAACAGUCAGCCACUGGACCAUGGAGGCCGAGAGUACUUGGUUAAGUUGCUGUUUUAUUUCAACUAUUUAAUUAAAUGUAGAAAUAUUUUGUGUGGUUGCACCUACUUAUGAUAUUUUAAAUAUAUAAUAAAACAACUUAUUUCUAAAAAUAUAUCUU